AGAGUUUGAUCCUGGCUCAGGAUGAACGCUGGCGGCGUGCUUAACACAUGCAAGUCGAGCGAUGAAGUUUCCUUCGGGAAACGGAUUAGCGGCGGACGGGUGAGUAACACGUGGGUAACCUGCCUCAUAGAGUGGAAUAGCCUUCCGAAAGGAAGAUUAAUACCGCAUAAUGUUGAAAGAUGGCAUCAUCAUUCAACCAAAGGAGCAAUCCGCUAUGAGAUGGACCCGCGGCGCAUUAGCUAGUUGGUGGGGUAACGGCCUACCAAGGCGACGAUGCGUAGCCGACCUGAGAGGGUGAUCGGCCACAUUGGGACUGAGACACGGCCCAGACUCCUACGGGAGGCAGCAGUGGGGAAUAUUGCACAAUGGGGGAAACCCUGAUGCAGCAACGCCGCGUGAGUGAUGAAGGUUUUCGGAUCGUAAAGCUCUGUCUUUGGGGAAGAUAAUGACGGUACCCAAGGAGGAAGCCACGGCUAACUACGUGCCAGCAGCCGCGGUAAUACGUAGGUGGCGAGCGUUAUCCGGAUUUACUGGGCGUAAAGGGAGCGUAGGCGGAUGAUUAAGUGGGAUGUGAAAUACCCGGGCUCAACUUGGGUGCUGCAUUCCAAACUGGUUAUCUAGAGUGCAGGAGAGGAGAGUGGAAUUCCUAGUGUAGCGGUGAAAUGCGUAGAGAUUAGGAAGAACACCAGUGGCGAAGGCGACUCUCUGGACUGUAACUGACGCUGAGGCUCGAAAGCGUGGGGAGCAAACAAGAUUAGAUACCCUGGUAGUCCACGCCGUAAACGAUGAAUAAGGGGUGUGGGGGUUUCAACACCUCCGUGCCGCCCGCUAACGCAUUAAGUAUUCCGCCUGGGGAGUACGGUCGCAAGAUUAAAACUCAAAGGAAUUGACGGGGACCCGCACAAGUAGCGGAGCAUGUGGUUUAAUUCGAAGCAACGCGAAGAACCUUACCUACACUUGACAUCCCUUGCAUUACUCUUAAUCGAGGAAAUCCCUUCGGGGACAAGGUGACAGGUGGUGCAUGGUUGUCGUCAGCUCGUGUCGUGAGAUGUUGGGUUAAGUCCCGCAACGAGCGCAACCCUUGUCGUUAGUUACUACCAUUAAGUUGAGGACUCUAGCGAGACUGCCUGGGUUAACCAGGAGGAAGGUGGGGUUGACGUCAAAUCAUCAUGCCCCUUAUGUGUAGGGCUACACACGUGCUACAAUGGCUGGUACAGAGAGAUGCAAUACCGCGAGGUGGAGCCAAACUUAAAAACCAGUCUCAGUUCGGAUUGUAGGCUGAAACUCGCCUACAUGAAGCUGGAGUUACUAGUAAUCGCGAAUCAGAAUGUCGCGGUGAAUACGAUCCCGGGUCUUGUACUCACCGCCCGUCA
rnacentral:rRNA from 1 species